UCCUGACAUGAUUCUAAUGUCAUAUAUAUAUAUGUGUGUGUGUGUGUGUGUAUGUAUGUGUGUGUAUAUAUAUAUACACAUACAUUACUACACU
rnacentral:miRNA from 1 species